rnacentral:rRNA from 1 species
GGGAAAGAUGAAAGAAAAAUUAAAAGCACCAUACAGCAAAGAUUACCCCUGAUACCUUUUGCAUAAUGAAUUAGCCAACCUAACAAAGAGAACUUAAGCUAAGCCCCCUGAAACCGGACGAGCUACCUAUGAACAAUCUUUACAGGAUGAACUCAUCUAUGUUGCAAAACAGUGAGAAGAUCUGUAGGGAGAGGUGAGAAGCCUAACGAGCCUGGUAAUAGCUGGUUACCCAGAACAGAAUUUUAGUUCAACUUUAAACCUACCUAAAAAACCCCAAAAUUCUAAUGUAAGUUUAAAAUAUAAUCUAAAAAGGUACAGCUUUUUAGAAUGAGGAUACAACCUUCUUUAGAGAGUAAGCAUAAACAUAACCAUAGUUGGCUUAAAAGCAGCCAUCAGUUAAGAAAGCAUUCAAGCUCAACAAUUAAAACAUCUUAAUGUCAAAAAUAUGCAACCAACUCCUAACUUAAUACUGGUUAAUCUAUUUAACAAUAGAAGCACUAAUGCUCGUAUGAGCAACAAGAAAUAUUUCUCCUUGCAUAAGCUCAUAUCAGAGCAGAUAACACUGAUAAUUAACAAGAUAAAAAUAAUCUAACUAUAAACUAAAUAUCAAACCAAUUGUUGACCUGACACAGGCAUGCAACUAAGGAAAGAUUAAAGGAAGUGAAAGGAACUUGGCAAAUGCAAACCCCGCCUGUUUACCAAAAACAUCACCUCUAGCAUUUCUAGUAUGAGAGGCCCUGCCCGCCCAAGGACGUUCAUUAAUCGGCCGUGGUAUCCUGACCGUGCAAAGGUAGCAUAAUCACUUGUUCCCUAAACAGGGACUAGUAUGAAUGGCCACAUGAGGGUUUUACUAUCUCUUACUUCUAAUCCUUGAAACUGAUCUUCCUGUGAAGAGGGGGGAGUAGGACAAGAAGACCCUAAGAGGCUUUAAUUCACUGGCCCAAAGAGACUACACCAAUACAACCAAUAGGGACAACAAAUCUCCCCAUGGGCCAACAAUUUAGGUUGGGGUGACCACGGAGAAUAAAAUAACCUCCGAGGGAUUUAGAUCUAGACUAACCAGUCAAAAGUAUAACAUCAUUUAUUGAUCCAAAAUACUUGAUCAAUGGCACAAGUUACCCUGGGCAUAACAGCACAAUCCAAUUUUAGGGUCCAUAUCGCCAGGAGGGUUUAUGACCUCGAUGUUGGAUCAAGACAUCCCAAUAGUACAGCAGCUAUCAAAGGUUUGUUUGUUCAACGAUUAAAGUCCUACAUGAUCUGAUUUCAGACAGGAGCAAUCCAGGUCGGUUUCUACUUAUCAAACAAUUUCUCCCAG